AUCAGUAUUGCACCAAUGUUUAAAGUAACUAAUAGGCAUUAUCGAUAUUUGAUGAGGUUGAUAAGUAAACAGUGUAAA
rnacentral:tRNA from 1 species